AUGUCCGUCACGCGGGUUCUUGCGCUGCUUGUCGCGGCGGCGCUGGCGGCCGCGGCGCCGGCGCGCGUGGGCGCGGCGGGGGCGUGCGCGGCGGAGAGGUUCUCCAAGAACCGCGUGUACGCCGCCUGCACCGACCUGCCCACCCUGGGCGCGUCCGUGCACUGGACCUACGACCCGGCGGCCUCCUCCCUCUCCGUGGCGUUCGUCGCCGCGCCGCCCUCGUCCGGCGGCUGGGUCGCCUGGGGCCUCAACCCCUCCGGCGACGGCAUGAGCGGCACGCAGGCGCUCGUCGCCUCGCCCACGGGCAGCGGCGGCGCGUACGGCGUCCAGACGUUCGACAUCCAGGGCACAUCGCUCGGAUCGCCGGGCCCCAUCGCCUACAAGACGUCCGACCUCGCCGCCGAGGUCGGCGCCGACGGCCGCGUCCAGAUGUUCGGGAAGCUCGCGCUCCAGAACGGCACCGGGGAGGUGAACCAGGUCUGGCAGGUGGGACCGGCGUCGGGCGGGAGCAUCGGCAUACACGCCAUGGCCGCCGCCAACAUGGGGGCCAAGGGGAAGCUCAACCUCGUCACGGGGGCGACCACAGCCGUCAGCGGAGGCAGCAUCCUCAGGAAGAAAAAUACCCAUGGAAUUCUGAAUGCUGUGAGCUGGGGGAUUCUUCUGCCAAUGGGAGGCAUAGUUGCUAGAUACCUCAAGACAUUCAAAUCAGCCGACCCUGCCUGGUUCUACCUUCACGUUGCUUGCCAGCUGAUCGGGUAUGCUGUGGGAGUGUCUGGCUGGGCCACCGGCAUUCAUCUAGGAAAUCUGUCCAAGGGAAUCACCUACUCGCUUCACAGGAACAUCGGGAUCGCCGUAUUUGCUCUCGGUACCGUUCAGAUCUUUGCGCUGUUCCUGAGGCCGAAGAAGGAUCACAAGCUGCGGGUGUACUGGAACGUGUACCACCACUCGGUGGGCUACACCAUCAUCAUCCUGGGCAUCGUCAACAUCUUCAAGGGCAUGAGCAUCCUGGACGUGGCGCAGAAGUGGAAGACGGGCUACAUCAUCGCCAUCGGCAUCCUGGGCGGCGUCGCGGUGGCGCUGGAGGUGAUCACCUGGGCCAUCGUGCUCAAGAGGAGGAAGACGGAGGACAAGGCCUACAACGGCGGCGCCUCCAACAACAACAACGGCCAUCUGCCCAUGUGA
rnacentral:rRNA from 1 species